ACAUCAUAUACAAUCUAUUUUCCAGAAUGCUCAUUUGGAGUUUGUAGAAAAUUUGAAUGUUAAAGAGCAAGUUGUUGCUGGAAUCAUGUACUAUAUAACACUUGCGGCAACUGAUGAUGCUGGAAAGAAGAAAAUAUACAAAAAGGUUUUGAACGUGAAGCAACAAAUAGUUGCUGGAAUAAUGUACUAUAUAACACUUGCGGCAAUUGAUGCUGGAAAGAAGAAAAUAUAUGAAGCUAAGAUUUGGGUGAAAGAAUGGGAGGACUUCAAGAAAGUUGUAGAAUUCAAGCUUGUUGGUGAUGAUAUUGCAAAACUUGGGGGCAUUACUGAUGUUCCAUUCCCAAAUAACCCCGAGUUCCAAGAUCUUGCUCGUUUUGCUAUUCAAGUUUAUAAUAAGAAAGAGGUUAAUUCAAAUGGCUUACUCCUCUUUUAUUUUUCGCUAGUUUCACCUUCAAACAUAUAAUAUUCAAAUUCUGAAUCCGCUACAGUUUCUAAUAAUUCUUUCAUUUGAAUGAACGUCAUAUACAAUCUAUUUUUCAGAAUGUUCAUUUGGAGUUUGUAGAAAAUUUGAACGUUAAACAACAAGUUGUUGCUGGAAUGAUGUACUAUAUAACACUUGCGGCAAUUGAUGCUGGAAAGAAGAAAAUAUAUGAAACUAAGAUUUGGGUGAAAGAAUGGGAGGACUUCAAGAAAGUUGUAGAAUUCAAGCUUGUUGGUGAUGAUAGUACAAUGCCUGGGGGCAUUGUCAAUGUUCCAAACCCAAACAACACCAAGUUAGUUCCAAGAUCUUGCUCGUUUUGCUGUUCAGGAUUAUAACAAUACACAGGUCAAUUAUAUAUAAUGACUUACUUUUAGUUUCUUAAUGAUGUACUAUAUAACACUUGCGGCAACUGAUGCCGGGAAUAAGAAAGAAUAUGAAGCCAAGAUUUGGGUGAAGGAAUGGGAGGACUUCAAGAAAGUUAUAGACUUCAAGCUUGUUGGUAAUGAUAGUGAGAAAAAACUUGGGGGCUUUACCGAAGUUCCAUUCCCAAACAGCCCCGAGUUUCAAGAUCUUACACGUUUUGCUGUUCACCAAUAUAAUAAGGACCAGGUUAUUUAUAAUGACUUACUCAUCUUCUAUUUUUUUUUCUAGUUAAUUUCACAUUCAACCCUAUAAUAUACAAAUUCAUAAUCCACUACUGUAUCUAGUAUAUAAUUCUUUCAUUUGAACGAGCGUCAUAUACAAUCAAUUUUUUCAGAAUGCUCAUCUGGAGUUUGUAGAAAAUUUGAAUGUGAAAAAACAAGUUGUUGCUGGAAUGUUGUACUACAUAACAUUUGCGGCAACAGAUGGUGGAAAGAAAAAAAUAUAUGAAACUAAGAUUUGGGUUAAGGUAUGGGAGAACUUCAAGAAAGUUGUUGAAUUCAAGCUUGUUGGUGAUGAUAGUGCAAAGCCUGGGGGAAUUAUCAAUGUUCCAUUCCCAAACAGCCCCGAAUUCCAAGAUCUUGCUCGUUUUGCUGUUCAAGAUUAUAAUAAGAAAGAGGUUAAU
rnacentral:lncRNA from 1 species